GCUGGCGACCAUAGCAAGAGUGAACCACCUGAUCCCUUCCCGAACUCAGAAGUGAAACCUCUUAGCGCUGAUGGUUUCACUGUAUCCUCGUCGGAC
rnacentral:rRNA from 1 species